UCCCUGGUGGCUCAGAGGUUAAAGCGUCUGUCUCCAAUGCGGAUGACCCGGGCUCGAUCCCUGGGUCGGGAA
rnacentral:tRNA from 1 species